rnacentral:rRNA from 1 species
UACGUAGGUGGCAAGCGUUAUCCGGAAUUAUUGGGCGUAAAGCGCGCGCAGGUGGUUUCUUAAGUCUGAUGUGAAAGCCCACGGCUCAACCGUGGAGGGUCAUUGGAAACUGGGAGACUUGAGUGCAGAAGAGGAAAGUGGAAUUCCAUGUGUAGCGGUGAAAAUGCGUAGAGAUAUGGAGGAACACCAGUGGCGAAGGCGACUUUCUGGUCUGUAACUGACACUGAGGCGCGAAAGCGUGGGGAGCAAACAGG